rnacentral:rRNA from 1 species
GACGAACGCUGGCGGCGUGCUUAACACAUGCAAGUCGAACGGUGAAGCGCCUUCCUUUUUGGUGGGUGUGGAUGAGUGGCGAACGGGUGAGUAACACGUGAGUAACCUGCCCCCUUCUUCUGGAUAACCGCAUGAAAGUGUGGCUAAUACGGGACAUUCUGGGUCUGUCGCAUGAUGGGUCUGGGAAAGAUAUUGUUUCGGUGGGGGAUGGGCUCGCGGCCUAUCAGCUUGUUGGUGGGGUGAUGGCCUACCAAGGCGGUGACGGGUAGCCGGCCUGAGAGGGUGGACGGUCACACUGGGACUGAGACACGGCCCAGACUCCGACGAGAGGCAGCAGUGGGGAAUAGUGCACAAUGGGCGCAAGCCUGAUGCAGCGACGCCGCGUGAGGGAUGGAGGCCUUCGGGUUGUGAACCUCUUUCGCCAGUGAAGCAGGCCUGCCUCGUUUGUGGGUGGGUUGACGGUAGCUGGAUAAGAAGCGCCGGCUAACUACGUG